UACGUAGGGUGCGAGCGUUGUCCGGAAUUACUGGGCGUAAAGAGCUCGUAGGUGGUUUGUCGCGUUGUUCGUGAAAUCUCACGGCUUAACUGUGAGCGUGCGGGCGAUACGGGCAGACUAGAGUACUGCAGGGGAGACUGGAAUUCCUGGUGUAGCGGUGAAAUGCGCAGAUAUCAGGAGGAACACCGGUGGCGAAGGCGGGUCUCUGGGCAGUAACUGACGCUGAGGAGCGAAAGCGUGGGGGAGCGAACAGG
rnacentral:rRNA from 1 species